rnacentral:rRNA from 1 species
CCUACGGGAGGCAGCAGUAGGGAAUAUUGCUCAAUGGGGGAAACCCUGAAGCAGCAACGCCGCGUGGAGGGUGAAGGUUUUCGGAUUGUAAACUCCUUUUGUUAGAGAAGAUAAUGACGGUAUCUAACGAAUAAGCACCGGCUAACUCCGUGCCAGCAGCCGCGGUAAUACGGAGGGUGCAAGCGUUACUCGGAAUCACUGGGCGUAAAGAGCGCGUAGGCGGGAUAGCAAGUCUGAUGGGAAAUCCUAUGGCUUAACCAUAGAACUGCAUUUGAAACUGGUAUUCUAGAGUGUGGGAGAGGUAGGUGGAAUUCGUGGUGUAGCGGUAAAAUCCGUAGAGAUCACGAGGAAUACUCAUUGCGAAGGCGACCUGCUAGAACAUAACUGACGCUGAUGCGCGAAAGCGUGGGGAGCAAACAGGAUUAGAUACCCGGGUAGUC